ACCUCUGUAUCUCAGUUGGUUAGUGCGUGUCGUAAUGUAAUGGCCGGCGUGGGCACAGGUUCGAUUACUGUCAGAGGAC